rnacentral:rRNA from 1 species
GUAGGGGGCGAGCGUUGUCCGGAUUUAUUGGGCGUAAAGAGCUCGUAGGCGGUUGGGCAAGUCACGUGUGAAAUCUCCACGCUCAACGUGGAGGCGCCACGUGAGACUGCCCUGACUAGAGUCCGGUAGGGGAGCGUGGAAUUCCCGGUGUAGCGGUGAAAUGCGCAGAGAUCGGGAGGAACACCCGUAGCGAAGGCGGCGCUCUGGGCCGGUACUGACGCUGAGGAGCGAAAGCGUGGGGAGCAAACAGGAUUAGAUACCCUGGUAGUCCACGCCGUAAACGUUGGGCACUAGGUGUGGGGCUCUAUCGACGGGCUCCGUGCCGUAGCUAACGCAUUAAGUGCCCCGCCUGGGGAGUACGGCCGCAAGGCUAAA